GGUCCCGUAGCUCAACUGAAUAGAGUAUCUGACUACGGAUCAGAAGGUUGCAGGUUUGAAUCCUGCCGGGAUCA
rnacentral:tRNA from 1 species